CUUUUGUGAAGAAGCCUGAAUUUUCGCACGAGGUGGUGGCUUUGCUUCGCUUGAAGAGUGAGGACGGACCACACAUGAUGAAAGUGGAGCAGAUAUUGACUCAACUGGAGCAAGCCAAUCAGGUGACCCAUCUGACCCUCGAUGACAUGCUCUGCCGCACGCCAACAGGAAGGAGGAAGCAGGCGCCGAUAAUGAAGGACAGGGAGACCAGCCAAAGGACUCUGAGGCCACUCGAGUCCACUCUGUUUCUAGAAUGAGAGAAGCCUCUCCAAAGCCUUUAACCUAAGGCGAAAUGUAACGAGUCAAAACCCCCUACCUCUGGUUAGAAUAGACUUUGCCAUGAUUACCGAGCUACCUCUUCUUAAACACGGACGGAGUCAUCUGCAGACUGGACUUUUGUCGCCUUUUUUUGUCAUCACUAUCCAAAUCUUUGAUGAAAAAGGUCAUAUUUGUGCAGGAGGCACUUAAAUAGAAAGUUGCUGAGAUAAAAUUACAGAAGCAACACCAGCUAAUGGAAAUGGAUAACAAGUCAUUUGAGAAGAAUUUGUCGUAUAUAAAAGUGUGAAUGAGUGAUUAAAGAUACAUUUAAUAAUGAAAAA